rnacentral:rRNA from 1 species
UACGGAGGGUGCGAGCGUUAAUCGGAAUUAUUGGGCGUAAAGAGCAUGUAGGCGGCUGUCUAAGUCUGAUGUGAAAGCCCGGGGCUCAACCCCGGAAGUGCAUUGGAUACUGGGCAGCUUGAGUAUGGGAGAGGAAAGUGGAAUUCCGAGUGUAGGGGUGAAAUCCGUAGAUAUUCGGAGGAACACCAGUGGCGAAGGCGGCUUUCUGGACCAAUACUGACGCUGAGAUGCGAAAGCGUGGGGAGCAAACAGG